rnacentral:lncRNA from 1 species
AAAUCACAUCAAUCAUACUCAAGAAUGUCACUGAAACCAAUUAUGUACAGAGUUUGCCACCCACCAAAUGUACCAGCAUAACAGGUGAAGGGUCGAUAUAAAAUGUAGGAAAUGUGCUACAUAUUGGAGGCUAAGAAAGGUCUUGAGUCUCAGAGAUCGGAUAUAUGCUUUGAUGCAGCUGCUGAUGGUAAAGAUCAGGUAUUUUUGCGGUCCCAGCAUCUCCCGAAAUGAUAAAUUAAACCUCUGCACCAUAGCAUGCAUCACUAAAAAUUCUUCAAACUUUCUGAGCAUCUUUUUAAUGAGUAGAUAUAUCAUGAAUAAGUAUCGAAUCUUCCACCACAAUCAUCUUGAUGCAUGCUUGAGUCAAAUCUCAAAGAGUUUGGGCUAUAUACUCUAGAUUGCCAAGUUGCUGAGGAUUAUUGACAACAUUCAACAGCAGAUGGGCUUUGCUUUUGAAAGCUUCUAAUGAGCUUGACCCCCUUCACAAUACACACAGAGAGAGAGAGAGAGAGAGAGAGAGAGGGGCAGAAGCUACCCUGGUCCUGCACAAAAAAAUGAGACCCUGAAAUUAACCGUGGCAAUCAGGUCGGGCCAGACCAGACAGGAAUCCAGCCGCAUCCAAAAUAGAUAAAAAAUCAGCCAAGCCAAACUCACCUGUUUAUUAAGCGAACUGUCAAGUAUUGCCACUCCUACCUACAAUCCGACGGCACCAAAUCCAACUCAAAUUACCUAGAUGAGUAAAAUGACCGUUCCUCUUGCUAUUUACCCAACAGAAUCUAGCUGGCCAUACUCCAUGUUAUCAUUAG